AAUCUGUAACUUUGCGUCAUUCCCCCUGCGUCAUUUCCCCUGGACAACGCAUCUCUCAUGACUCACCCCUUGCUGCCCACGCCUUCGCAUCCUAUUUAACAGAAGCUUCUCCUUCAGCAGAAACUCGCACCUCUCAGUGUAAUUAAAUGAGCUUCUUCUUCUUCCUUCCUUUUCUCUUCUCUUUUCUCUUUUCUUCCUCUUGCUCUUUCUCUUUCUCUUCCCUUUUCCAUCCGAGUCUCUGAGUAAGAGACAAUCGUGGGGAGAAGGGAGAGCUAAAAAGUGAGGAAGACAUAGAGGGGAACACUGAGAGAGGAGAGAAUUGUGAGAGCAGAGGGAGACUGAAACAGAGAGAUCGAGAGAGAACCCGAGAAAAACCCGUGGGAACCCGUGAUCUAGAAGAUGAUUGGAGACCCGAUUCUUCAUGGGUCUCCGGUGGAACGACGCCAACGGAAACAUGAGCGGAUUCCGGUGGAACCAGAGCCCAUUUUCGGCGAAUCAGAGCUGGUUUUCUGGCGAUUAACAGUAAGAUUUCCGACGGCUUGAAGAGCAAUUUCGGUGGGGUGAUUUUGAUGAUUUCGGUAAUUUCUGAAGGAUUCUCUAUAGAUGAUGAAUUGAGAAUAGCACCAAAGGGCUAUAAGUAUUUUCAAAAUACUUACUGAGAGAUGCUGAAUUUAGUAAAGUUAUGUUUAUAGAUUUAUUUAAUUGUUUGCGUAUGUAAAAUUUGUAUAUUUUACUGUUUAAACUAAACUAGUUAAUAACAAAGCUGGUAUGCAGCAGGGGGCUAGAUGGCUGCUAGUAGGACCUUAGGCUCCCAUGACAUAUAAUAAUAAGCGACUGAAACCUUAGGGCUUUCGGUCAAUUGGGA